AGAUGCGAUCAUACCAGCACUAAAACACCAAAUCCCAUCUUAACUCCAAAGUUAAGCGUGCUUGGGCGAGAUUAGUACUAGGAUGGGUGACCUCUUG
rnacentral:rRNA from 1 species